GCUUCAUGUAUUUCCAUCUUUAUCACUGUAAAGGGCCUGAAUAAUAUAACCCCGAAAUAACAGAAGUUGUCGCUUACCUGUCCAUUUCCCAACAGAAAAGCCAAAGCAGAUGUCUCCAUGAAGGUCCAUAUCAACCUGGCCAUUGCUCUGAUCCUCCUCAACCUUCACUUCCUCCCUAAUGAGGCAGUUGCAGCGCUGUCCUCCAACGAGUUUUGUAUGUAUAUGGCCAUCGCUCUCCACUACUCCCUGUUGGCCUCAUUGUCCUGGAUGGCCGUGGAGGGGUUCCACCUGUACUGGCUCUUGGUCAAAGUCUUCAACAUCUACGUCAGGAGAUACCUGCUCAAACUCAGUGUGGUUGGAUGGGGUGAGUGGCUUCAUCUAAACUGUGCACUAACAAAUUACUCUUGAGUGACAAAAGGGUCGUGUUUCAGGUGUUCCUGCGGUCAUUGUGUCGUUGGUGCUGAUCAUAAACAAGGAUACAUACGGUCAUGUCCCUUUGGACUCAUCCAACAGCACUGCAAUAUGCUACAUAAGGAAUGAUGUUGUGAAGGUGACGACUACUGUGGGAGUGUUCAGCUUGGUGUUCGUCUUUAACAUGGUCAUGUUGGUGGUCACAGUCAGACGUGUUAUAAGUCUCCGCAGUAGGAACGAGUUUGGACACAGUGACCGUAACAGAGCCAAGCAGGACAUUUGUACCUUGCUGGGGAUCACCACUCUGCUUGGAAUUACCUGGGGCCUGAUCUUCUUUUCGUUUGGUUACUUGACCACGCCUGGCCUCUACAGUUUCUGCAUCCUGAACUCACUGCAAGGCUUGUUCAUCUUCCUUUGGUUUGUAUUGUCUGUAAAAAAGGCUGGAAACUCAGUGAAAAACACGAGCAGUGAAACACGCAGCACCAACACCUGAGCCUAAACCCAUCUUUGCACAACAUAUGUGUGUGUUUGUGUGUGUGUGUGUGUGUAGAAUUUGUACUGUAAUACUACUGUUUAUUUCUGUAUGGUGUUUGUAUAACAUGUUUCCCAUCUAGCACCAGCUCUUUGUAACAAAUGUAAAUAUCUGUCGUCUUAAACUUGUGUAUUUUGGGUUUAUUUCAUCUGAUUAUCUAAAUAUUUUUUGUGAUAAAAAAGGGAAGAAAGCCACAGUCAGAGGUUGGGAUUGUUUAGGUAGGCAACACAUUCAUAUUUCACAACAUGAUCUGUGUUAAAACUACAACGCAAAUGCUCACCUGCCAUUCUUUGAAUGCUUUUGCAAAUUCUCGGAGAUUAAUAUCUAUUUUGUCAAGCUGUAUUUAAUACAUAAUGUAUAUCAAAUACAGAUUUAUAUAUAUACUUUAUAUAUAUAGCACAUUGCACACACACACUGACAUUACUGUGACUGAUGAAAGCUCCAUUUGUCAGACCUGUAGGCUGAUACCACAUGUGCCACAGUCUAAAUUCCACUGAAAAGAAACACGCUCUGUGUGCUUCACUGCCGUCAUUAUAUUACUCUUGUAAAAAGAAUUUGCAUAAAACAAACACUUCCCGCAGGUCAAACACAAGCCCCACUGUGUUUUACUGAUAUUAAACACAUUUACUCAAAUAAUGAGUUGGCACAGCUCACCGAUGCUUCUCAGCCUGGUCACAUCAUAGAACUACUCUGUGUCUGCUCGAUGUUAAUGUAAGUUUGUUUUCUUAUUUUCUUUUAGGUGCAGAUAAGAAUUCUUGUAAAAUGAUGAGAUUUCUCUUUAAUGUAUAAAAUAUUUUUCUCUUUGAACAUAUAAUGUGUGUAUGAGCUUUGAAAUUUUUUACAGUUUAUGGUGAACUGACUCAUCUGUUUUUAAAAUGUGAUUCCUUAAAUAAAUAUGAACAACAC
ensembl:lncRNA